rnacentral:rRNA from 1 species
UACGUGAGGGGCGAACGUUGUUCGGUGUCACUGGGCUUAAAGGGCGCGUAGGUGGUUGCGUAAGUAACGUGUGAAGGCCCUCGGCUUACCCGGGGAAUUGCGCGUUAUACUGCGUGGCUUGAGGAUUUCAGGGGAAAAGGGAACUCCAGGUGUAGCGGUGAAAUGCGCAGAUAUCUGGGGGAAGGCCGGCGGCGAAGGCGCUUUUCUGGGAAAUUCCUGACACUGAGGCGCGAAAGCGUGGGGAGCAAACAGG